AACGAACGCUGGCGGCAUGCCUAACACAUGCAAGUCGAACGAGACCUUCGGGUCUAGUGGCGCACGGGUGCGUAACGCGUGGGAACCUGCCCUUAGGUUCGGAAUAACUCCCCGAAAGGGGUGCUAAUACCGGAUAAUGUCUUCGGACCAAAGAUUUAUCGCCUUUGGAUGGGCCCGCGUUGGAUUAGCUAGUUGGUAGGGUAAAAGCCUACCAAGGCGACGAUCCAUAGCUGGUCUGAGAGGAUGAUCAGCCACACUGGGACUGAGACACGGCCCAGACUCCUACGGGAGGCAGCAGUGGGGAAUAUUGGACAAUGGGCGAAAGCCUGAUCCAGAAAUGCCGCGUGAGUGAUGAAGGCCUUAGGGUUGUAAAGCUCUUUUACCCGGGAUGAUAAUGACAGUACCGGGAGAAAAAGCUCCGGCUACUCC
rnacentral:rRNA from 1 species